CGGUAUCAAAUAAGUAUCGGCUUUUGUACUACCUUUAAUCCACCUUUAAGUACGACCUUGAAAAACGUUAUUAGAAAACGCAGUUUAUCGCAAGUCCUAUUACUAUCUGUAGUACAAAAGAUAAACCAUCGAGCCCCCUAGUUUAACUGCAGUACUUAGUCGACAAACGUCAAAUUCCGACAUUAUUUACUUUUGAGGUUAUUUGUUUUGUGAUGAAAAAAACGAAAGUGGAUAUAAAUAUGUGUGAUUUGGAAUACUUGGAUGUGUUAGAAUACUAUUGAGAGUGUCCGGGGACCCAACAGAAUGUGUCAUCGAAAAAUCUCUUCAAAUUACCUGACGACAAUUUUCGAUAUAAAUAUCGAUUUACGUUUUUCGAAAUAAUAGUCAAUUGAAUGCAUGAUGAUAAUCCAGGAUGAUCCUAUGAUGCUCAACUGGGCUCGCCAUAAAAUUCAAGACUAUUUUGGCGUUUUGCACGCCGUAUCUCUGCCAGUAAUAUGCAAUGUUUGUAAAAGACUGGAAGCUUGCUAAAAUGUACAAAAAUGCCUAGAUGAGAAAGGGAACAAGAUUGUGUGAUGAAGAACAGUGUCCAACAUGUAUCAGUGCAUUUGACUGUAUAAAUAGACAUCGGAAUAAAAUAUAAUUUUCUACUUU